rnacentral:rRNA from 1 species
UACAGAGGGUGCGAGCGUUAAUCGGAAUUACUGGGCGUAAAGCGCGCGUAGGCGGCUUUGCAAGUCGGGUGUGAAAUCCCCAAGCUUAACCUGGGAACUGCAUUCGAGACUGCAUUGCUAGAGUAUGGGAGAGGGAAGUGGAAUUUCCGGUGUAGCGGUGAAAUGCGUAGAUAUCGGAAGGAACAUCAGUGGCGAAGGCAGCUCGCUGGGACGUUACUGACGCUGAGACGCGAAAGCGUGGGGAGCAAACAGG